UACGUAGGGGGCUAGCGUUGUCCGGAAUCAUUGGGCGUAAAGCGCGUGUAGGCGGUCCGGUAAGUCCGCUGUGAAAGUCGGGGGCUCAACCCUCGAAAGCCGGUGGAAACUGUCGGGCUAGAGUACGGAAGAGGCGAGUGGAAUUCCUGGUGUAGCGGUGAAAUGCGCAGAUAUCAGGAGGAACACCAAUGGCGAAGGCAGCUCUCUGGGACGGUACUGACGCUGAGACGCGAAAGCGUGGGGAGCGAACAGG
rnacentral:rRNA from 1 species